rnacentral:rRNA from 1 species
CCUACGGGUGGCAGCAGUGGGGAAUAUUGGACAAUGGGGGGAACCCUGAUCCAGCCAUGCCGCGUGUGUGAAGAAGGCCCUCGGGUUGUAAAGCACUUUCAGUGAGGAAGAACGCCUGGUGGUUAAUACCCAUCAGGAAAGACAUCACUCACAGAAGAAGCACCGGCUAACUCCGUGCCAGCAGCCGCGGUAAUACGGAGGGUGCGAGCGUUAAUCGGAAUUACUGGGCGUAAAGCGCGCGUAGGUGGCUUGAUAAGCCGGUUGUGAGAGCCCCGGGCUCAACCUGGGAACGGCAUCCGGAACUGUCAAGCUAGAGUGCAGGAGAGGAAGGUAGAAUUCCCGGUGUAGCGGUGAAAUGCGUAGAGAUCGGGAGGAAUACCAGUGGCGAAGGCGGCCUUCUGGACUGACACUGACACUGAGGUGCGAAAGCGUGGGUAGCAAACAGGAUUAGAUACCCUAGUAGUC